rnacentral:rRNA from 1 species
AGAGCGAACGCUGGCGGCAGGCCUAACACAUGCAAGUCGAACGGACCCUUCGGGGUUAGUGGCGGACGGGUGAGUAACACGUGGGAACGUGCCUUUAGGUUCGGAAUAGCUCCUGGAAACGGGUGGUAAUGCCGAAUGUGCCCUUCGGGGGAAAGAUUUAUCGCCUUUAGAGCGGCCCGCGUCUGAUUAGCUUGUUGGUGAGGUAAUGGCUCACCAAGGCUACGAUCAGUAGCUGGUCUGAGAGGAUGACCAGCCACAUUGGGACUGAGACACGGCCCAAACUCCUACGGGAGGCAGCAGUGGGGAAUCUUGCGCAAUGGGCGAAAGCCUGACGCAGCCAUGCCGCGUGUAUGAUGAAGGUCUUAGGAUUGUAAAAAUACUUUCACCGGUGAAGAUAAUGACUGUAGCCGGAGAAGAAGCCCCGGCUAAACUUCGUGCCAAGCAGCCGC